CGCUUAUGCAAAAAAUAUAUGCAGGAAUGGCACAAUCAGUGUUCCGGCUAAGCGCAAUUAGAACUAUUAGCGCAUUCCGCACGGUAUCCCAUGAAGCCGCUAGCAUUAUAUCUGGGAUAAUGCCGCCAGACAUAAUGGCACGGGAACUGAAGCGGAUCUAUGACAAAAGCAAAAGUAUUGGCAGAAAGCUGACAAUGCCAGAGCGAAAAGCGGAAAGACAAGAAAGCAUGGAGGAAUGGCAAAAUCGUUGGGACACAACAACAAAGGGAAGAUGGACGCACCGAUUAAUCGGGAAAGUACAAGAAUGGGUGGAACGAAAGCAUGGCGAGACAGACUUUUACAUGACGCAGUUUCUGACAGGACACGGAUGUUUCCGAGAGUACCUACAUAGGUAUGGUCAUGACAAUGGCGUUACUUGCUCUUUCUGUGGUAACAGUAGUGAAAAUACGGAGCACAUAUUUUUCUACUGCCCGAGAUUUAAGUCAGAGCGCCAGGCCCUGGAGAUAGAAGUGGCAGGCCGGGUAACACCUGAUAACAUAGUGAAUCAUAUGCUGCAAAAAAGACGAGUAUGGUAUGCCAUGGAGAGGACGACAGCUCUGAUACUGCAAGAGCUGAGAAGAGCCGAACACCAAAGAAGCAGUGAAGCUAGAGCCGCAAAUAGCGAACUAAUGACGUGAGCCAAUAGGCUAAGCUGGCCCUGCGAUGUAAUGCCUAGCGGCGGUCCCGCAGGACCUUUCCAAAAAGCUUCAGAUGACGGAGUUAAGGGUUUAGUACGUAGGCGUACUGUUCCGCAAGUCCAAUAUAGUAAGAUGUUACUUAUUAGGCGUGGUCCCGAAUGAGGUGCACCUUUAGCGAGCAGUACGAAUCGUGCAUGCUGUAUACCACUAAGUAUCAGUAUCUAUGAAAGAUUCCCCCUUCGAAAAAAAAAAAAAAAAAAAAAAAAAAAAAAAAAAAAACGCAUCACGCAUCAUAACCGGUACACGUUCGCUGUAAGUUCGCAACAAAGGUGAGUGUCGGUCGACUUGUAAAGUAUUAAGCGUAUCGAGCUUUCUAGCUUGCUUUUAUUAUUAAGUUUUCCUUGUAAAGAUUGAAAUCACGGAGCGAAUUAAAUAACACGUCCGUACACUUUGAACAUUCUCAUAUGAAUGUGUAUGAAUAAAGAAUGUUCCGCUUUUGUGGAACUAAAAAUAUAUUUUUUAUAUUUCGUUGAACCAGAAAUAAUAAUUGUCGCGGGGUACAUAUGAACGUAGUUUCUCAUGAGCCUUUAAACUUGUGAGUUGAUUAUCGUUAGUGUGUUAAAACAUGUCAGUAAAGCAAAAAAAAAAUCAUUGCAAAUCAAAUUGAAUUUGCAUCAAAAAGUUGAGAUUUUAAGAAAAAUCGAUGAAGGUAUUCAUCGAAAUCGAUUAGCGUUGGAUGAAACAAACAUGGUUCGCAUAAGUUGAAACUAUUGAUAGUGAAUUCGCAAAUUAUCGUUGCUUGAAGGGGUUUGAAAACCUAUUGGAAUAUGCUAACUCGUAAAGUCUUGGAUGAGUUCUGAGCUAUUCUUCCCCGGUGAUAGUUGUUUGCAGCCCAUGAAUCAAAAUCACAUAAAACAAUGAGACGAUGAUCAAUACGACAGCGAAGCAGUUGAAUGCGUCAAUACCUUGCAAAAGUGGUAUGAAUAAAAAGACAUAUACAUGUGGGAUGGCAACAUUGGCCGAAAGCAACUCUGGUGGGACAAAUCAACACUGACCGAAUAGCGUUGACUGACGCUCUGAACACAUAGGAGCGACACGACAUGACAGCACAACAGUGAACUGUAAAUUACGUCGUGAAUCCUACUACAUGAACAUUUGUAAGAAAGCAGCGACAUAACAAUGGCCGGCAUGAACACAAAACAACACAGUUGUCCAUUUUGUAUGUACACAAUUUCGUUGUUUCCAUACGAAUACCUUUCACCUCAAUGAAAUUUAAGUAUUUUGUUCAAAGUGCAAUAUUUUAUGCAAAAAAGAAGUAAAUAUGUAGGUAAAUAUUUUUGUUUUAAAUUAUCAAUUGUUAUUACAAAUGAUAUAACAGAGCCAUUUUAUGCCUUUGUUUGUAAAUUAACGUCAGGUUUGUUAGAGCUUUGAAUGAUUUUACAUUUUAAGUAUACGUAGCAUCACUCCUCUCUACUGUCAACUCUACUGUCGUUGGCAAAUAUAAGAAUAUUUUGAAGCUAGCGAAGGCGACAAUUGACGGCCUGCAGUCUUGCAGCUGUCAAAAUAAUAUUUUAAUAUUUGACAGAUGUCGCUUGCAAUCUGUCGCGCUCAAUGUGUUCAGCACAUGACGGAGCGAGGUGCGGGAAGUGCGCGGCGCGCGCUGUCAACUGUUGGUUGCUGUUUUAUUUUACGACUGAAAACUGCAAUGUCUCAGUAAGUAUGAGAUUUACGCAAAUUUACGACAGUUUUUCAAACAAUAAUUGUUGUUCUAAAUAAUAUUUUCAAUGGAUUGGCAUAGGUUUCAUACCUGUACAUCAAAAGGUGACAUUUGAUAUACUUCCAAGUUUAGGUAUGUUCAAGAGGUUUCAUGCUUUUUAAUUUUUUUUUUUUUUGUGCAAAUUGAAAAAUAUUUUCAAGUUAGCGAGAGCGACAACUGAGAGCCUGCUGUCGUGUAGUCGUACGAAUGUCUGAAUAACUGUGUCCAUAAGAUAAUGUGAAUUUUAAUAUUUGACAGAUGUCACUUGUAGUCUGUCACGCUAGUUAAUUUUUACCAGAAGUAAAAAUGAGUCAAAAGAAUAUAUUUUUGAGCUGAACCGAAAAGUGUACUCUUUAUUAAUACUCUUAAGACUAACUUAUUACACAGUUCUUACUUCUAUUUAUGCUAACUAGUAUGCUUACUUAGUAUUACUAGUUCUUAAUUUGUUUAGAUAUAAUACCAUAUAUUGUUUGUUUAGGUUUGUUUACAUGAAUCUUAGUGCUACUUAUACUAUUGAGAUGCUGAUUGUUUUCUAGUAAAUAACUAUUUGGGUUGUUAUUGUUUGUUGUACUGAUAGUGCACUUCUAUUGUUCGAA